UUAAGCGACUAAGCGUACACGGUGGAUGCCCUGGCAGUCAGAGGCGAUGAAGGACGUGCUAAUCUGCGAUAAGCGUCGGUAAGGUGAUAUGAACCGUUAUAACCGGCGAUUUCCGAAUGGGGAAACCCAGUGUGAUUCGUCACACUAUCAUUAACUGAAUCCAUAGGUUAAUGAGGCGAACCGGGGGAACUGAAACAUCUAAGUACCCCGAGGAAAAGAAAUCAACCGAGAUUCCCCCAGUAGCGGCGAGCGAACGGGGAGCAGCCCAGAGCCUGAAUCAGUGUGUGUGUUAGUGGAAGCGUCUGGAAAGGCGCGCGAUACAGGGUGACAGCCCCGUACACAAAAAUGCACAUGCUGUGAGCUCGAUGAGUAGGGCGGGACACGUGGUAUCCUGUCUGAAUAUGGGGGGACCAUCCUCCAAGGCUAAAUACUCCUGACUGACCGAUAGUGAACCAGUACCGUGAGGGAAAGGCGAAAAGAACCCCGGCGAGGGGAGUGAAAAAGAACCUGAAACCGUGUACGUACAAGCAGUGGGAGCACGCUUAGGCGUGUGACUGCGUACCUUUUGUAUAAUGGGUCAGCGACUUAUAUUCUGUAGCAAGGUUAACCGAAUAGGGGAGCCGAAGGGAAACCGAGUCUUAACUGGGCGUUAAGUUGCAGGGUAUAGACCCGAAACCCGGUGAUCUAGCCAUGGGCAGGUUGAAGGUUGGGUAACACUAACUGGAGGACCGAACCGACUAAUGUUGAAAAAUUAGCGGAUGACUUGUGGCUGGGGGUGAAAGGCCAAUCAAACCGGGAGAUAGCUGGUUCUCCCCGAAAGCUAUUUAGGUAGCGCCUCGUGAAUUCAUCUCCGGGGGUAGAGCACUGUUUCGGCAAGGGGGUCAUCCCGACUUACCAACCCGAUGCAAACUGCGAAUACCGGAGAAUGUUAUCACGGGAGACACACGGCGGGUGCUAACGUCCGUCGUGAAGAGGGAAACAACCCAGACCGCCAGCUAAGGUCCCAAAGUCAUGGUUAAGUGGGAAACGAUGUGGGAAGGCCCAGACAGCCAGGAUGUUGGCUUAGAAGCAGCCAUCAUUUAAAGAAAGCGUAAUAGCUCACUGGUCGAGUCGGCCUGCGCGGAAGAUGUAACGGGGCUAAACCAUGCACCGAAGCUGCGGCAGCGACACUAUGUGUUGUUGGGUAGGGGAGCGUUCUGUAAGCCUGCGAAGGUGUGCUGUGAGGCAUGCUGGAGGUAUCAGAAGUGCGAAUGCUGACAUAAGUAACGAUAAAGCGGGUGAAAAGCCCGCUCGCCGGAAGACCAAGGGUUCCUGUCCAACGUUAAUCGGGGCAGGGUGAGUCGACCCCUAAGGCGAGGCCGAAAGGCGUAGUCGAUGGGAAACAGGUUAAUAUUCCUGUACUUGGUGUUACUGCGAAGGGGGGACGGAGAAGGCUAUGUUGGCCGGGCGACGGUUGUCCCGGUUUAAGCGUGUAGGCUGGUUUUCCAGGCAAAUCCGGAAAAUCAAGGCUGAGGCGUGAUGACGAGGCACUACGGUGCUGAAGCAACAAAUGCCCUGCUUCCAGGAAAAGCCUCUAAGCAUCAGGUAACAUCAAAUCGUACCCCAAACCGACACAGGUGGUCAGGUAGAGAAUACCAAGGCGCUUGAGAGAACUCGGGUGAAGGAACUAGGCAAAAUGGUGCCGUAACUUCGGGAGAAGGCACGCUGAUAUGUAGGUGAAGCGACUUGCUCGUGGAGCUGAAAUCAGUCGAAGAUACCAGCUGGCUGCAACUGUUUAUUAAAAACACAGCACUGUGCAAACACGAAAGUGGACGUAUACGGUGUGACGCCUGCCCGGUGCCGGAAGGUUAAUUGAUGGGGUCAGCGCAAGCGAAGCUCUUGAUCGAAGCCCCGGUAAACGGCGGCCGUAACUAUAACGGUCCUAAGGUAGCGAAAUUCCUUGUCGGGUAAGUUCCGACCUGCACGAAUGGCGUAAUGAUGGCCAGGCUGUCUCCACCCGAGACUCAGUGAAAUUGAACUCGCUGUGAAGAUGCAGUGUACCCGCGGCAAGACGGAAAGACCCCGUGAACCUUUACUAUAGCUUGACACUGAACAUUGAGCCUUGAUGUGUAG
rnacentral:rRNA from 1 species